AUUGAACGCUGGCGGCAUGCUUUACACAUGCAAGUCGAACGGUAACAGGCCUUCGGGCGCUGACGAGUGGCGAACGGGUGAGUAAUGCAUCGGAACGUGCCCAGUCGUGGGGGAUAACGCAGCGAAAGCUGUGCUAAUACCGCAUACGAUCUGUGGAUGAAAGCGGGGGACCUUCGGGCCUCGCGCGAUGGGAUCGGCCGAUGUCAGAUUAGGUAGUUGGUGGGGUAAAGGCUCACCAAGUCAACGAUCUGUAGCUGGUCUGAGAGGACGACCAGCCACACUGGGACUGAGACACGGCCCAGACUCCUACGGGAGGCAGCAGUGGGGAAUUUUGGACAAUGGGCGCAAGCCUGAUCCAGCAAUGCCGCGUGCAGGAAGAAGGCCUUCGGGUUGUAAACUGCUUUUGUACGGAACGAAACGGUCCUGGUUAAUACCUGGGGCUAAUGACGGUACCGUAAGAAUAAGCACCGGCUAACUACGUGCCAGCAGCCGCCGUAACAC
rnacentral:rRNA from 1 species